rnacentral:rRNA from 1 species
ACACUCCUGCGGGAGGCAGCAGUGGGGAAUAUUGGACAAUGGGCGCAAGCCUGAUCCAGCCAUGCCGCGUGAGUGAUGAAGGCCCUAGGGUUGUAAAGCUCUUUCACCGGUGAAGAUAAUGACGGUAACCGGAGAAGAAGCCCCGGCUAACUUCGUGCCAGCAGCCGCGGUAAUACGAAGGGGGCUAGCGUUGUUCGGAUUUACUGGGCGUAAAGCGCACGUAGGCGGACUAUUAAGUCAGGGGUGAAAUCCCGGGGCUCAACCCCGGAACUGCCUUUGAUACUGGUAGUCUGGAGUUCGAGAGAGGGGAGUGGAAUUCCGAGUGUAGAGGUGAAAUUCGUAGAUAUUCGGAGGAACACCAGUGGCGAAGGCGGCUCACUGGCUCGAUACUGACGCUGAGGUGCGAAAGCGUGGGGAGCAAACAGGAUUAGAUACCCUAGUAGUCCCAUGA